UAGGGGACACUGAGGCAACACUGUAGGGGACACUGAGGCAACACUGGGGGGGACACUGUAGGGGACACUGAGGCAACACUGGGGGGGACACUGAGGGAACACUGGGGGGACACUGUAGCGACGUUGAGCAGUAGAAACCAGAGUAACAGUCCCCCAAUCCUAAAUGGAUCUCUUACAGACUCGUUGACUUAAGCCCUUACAGACCAAGGACCAAUUCCAUUUCUUUCCCUUAGCCCUUGUCUUGGUCCUUCUCCAUCAGGUUAAGAGUUAACCUGAUGGACAAUUGGGACACCACCUCCCCUCACGUGAACACGCAAAACCAAGGGGAAGGUUUGGUUCUGAUGUGUCAGGUUCUAGUGUGUCUUGUUAUAUUGUGUCAGGUUCGGUUCUAGUGUUUCCUGUUAUAUUGUGUCAUGUUCGGCUCUAGUGUGUCCGGUUCUAGCAUGUCCAGUUUGGUUCUAAUGUGUCAGGUUCUAGUGUGUCUGGUUAUAUUGUGUCAUGUUCAGCUCUAGUGUGUCCGGUUCUAGCAUGUCCAGAUCAGUUCUUUUGUGUCAGGUUCUAGUGUGUCUGGUUCAGUUCUAAUGUGUCAGGUUCUAAUGUGUCAGGUUUGGUUCUAAUGUGUCAGGUUCUAAUGUGUCUGGUUCGGUUCUAAUGUGUCAGGUUCUAAUGUGUCUGGUUCAGUUCUAAUGUGUCUGGUUCGGUUCUAAUGUGUCAGGUUCUAAUGUGUCUGGUUCAGUUCUAAUGUGUCUGGUUCGGUUCUAAUGUGUCAGGUUCUAGUGUGCCCGGUUCAGUUCUAAUGUGUCAGGUUCUAGUGUGUCUGGUUCAGUUCUAAUGUGUCUGGUUCGGUUCUAAUGUGUCAGGUUCUAGUGUGCCCGGUUCAGUUCUAAUGUGUCAGGUUCUAGUGUGUCUGGUUCAGUUCUAAUGUGUCUGGUUCGGUUCUAAUGUGUCAGGUUCUAGUGUGCCGGGUUCAGUUUUAAUGUGUAAGGUUCUAAUGUGUCAGGUUUUAGUGUGCCCAGUUCAGUUCUAAUGUGUCAGGUUCUAGUGUGCCCGGUUCAGUUCUAAUGUGUCAGGUUCUAGUGUGCCCGGUUCAG